rnacentral:rRNA from 1 species
AUUGAACGCUGGCGGCAGGCCUAACACAUGCAAGUCGAGCGGAUGAAGCGUUCUUGCUCCUGUCUUCCGCUUCGGACGGGUGUGUCAUUCCUAUGUAUCUGCCUGUUUGUUUUUUAUUACUUCCUUUCACGGGCUCUACUCCCGCAUCCGUCCUUAUUUAUAAAGUUGGUGAUCUUCUGACCUCACGCUUUCUUCUGAUCCUAGGUCGGAUUAGCUAGUUGGUGUGGUAAAGGCCUACCAAGGCGACGAUCCGUAACUGGUCUGAGAGGAUGAUCAGUCACACUGGAACGGAGACACGGUCCAGACGCCUACGGGAGGCAGCAGUGGGGAAUAUUGGACAAUGGGCGAAAGAAUGAUAGAGCAAAGCCGCGUGUGUGAAGAAGGUCUUAGGAUGGUAAAGCACUUUAAGUAGGGAGGAAGGGAAGUAAGAGAAAACAUGGAUGUUUUGACGGUACCAAAAGAAUAAGCAACGGCUAACUACGUG